AACAGGAGCAACAAACAACCCUGAGAGUUCAGGAUAGUUGUUACUACGUGUGAUCUAGUGAAAACGGACUGGGUGGGGAGCAGAGAAAGGAAGCCAACUCCACUUUUCUCAUGAGGAUGCUAAUCCCAUGCCCGAGGACUUCAUUCUCAUGACCUACUUACCGUCCAAAGGAUUCACGUUCUGAUCCUAUUCAUCAGUGGUUAAGACCUUAUAGAAUGCUUCUCAUCGGAGCAUUCAGUCCAUGAUAAGCAAAGAAGAAAGUGCUUCCCUGGAGCAUCAGAACUUCCAUGCUGUCUUGACACCAGUCAGCACAGACGCAUGCUUCCUUCUCUGUUUCAAGAUGAAUAAAGAACAUUGGGAAAGAGAAGUACCUCAUUCUUGGGGAACCUAUACAA